rnacentral:rRNA from 3 species
GGUUAAGCGACUAAGCGUACACGGUGGAUGCCCUGGCAGUCAGAGGCGAUGAAGGACGUGCUAAUCUGCGAAAAGCGCCGGCGAGGUGAUAUGAACCUUUGACCCGGCGAUGUCCGAAUGGGGAAACCCAGUGUGUUCCGACACACUAUCGUUAACUGAAUACAUAGGUUAACGAGGCGAACCGGGGGAACUGAAACAUCUAAGUACCCCGAGGAAAAGAAAUCAACCGAGAUUCCCCCAGUAGCGGCGAGCGAACGGGGAGCAGCCCGGAGUCUGAAUCAGCUUGUGUGUUAGUGGAACGGUCUGGAAAGUCCGACGGUACAGGGUGAUAGUCCCGUACACGAAAAUGCACAUGCUGUGAACUCGAAGAGUAGGGCGGGACACGUGGUAUCCUGUCUGAAUAUGGGGGGACCAUCCUCCAAGGCUAAAUACUCCUGACUGACCGAUAGUGAACCAGUACCGUGAGGGAAAGGCGAAAAGAACCCCGGCGAGGGGAGUGAAAAAGAACCUGAAACCGUGUACGUACAAGCAGUGGGAGCACCUUCGGGUGUGACUGCGUACCUUUUGUAUAAUGGGUCAGCGACUUAUAUUCUGUAGCAAGGUUAACCGUAUAGGGGAGCCGAAGGGAAACCGAGUCUUAACUGGGCGUUAAGUUGCAGGGUAUAGACCCGAAACCCGGUGAUCUAGCCAUGGGCAGGUUGAAGGUUGGGUAACACUAACUGGAGGACCGAACCGACUAAUGUUGAAAAAUUAGCGGAUGACCUGUGGCUGGGGGUGAAAGGCCAAUCAAACCGGGAGAUAGCUGGUUCUCCCCGAAAGCUAUUUAGGUAGCGCCUCGUGAACUCAUCUUCGGGGGUAGAGCACUGUUUCGGCUAGGGGGCCAUCCCGGCUUACCAACCCGAUGCAAACUACGAAUACCGAAGAAUGUUAUCACGGGAGACACACGGCGGGUGCUAACGUCCGUCGUGAAGAGGGAAACAACCCAGACCGCCAGCUAAGGUCCCAAAGUCAUGGUUAAGUGGGAAACGAUGUGGGAAGGCACAGACAGCCAGGAUGUUGGCUUAGAAGCAGCCAUCAUUUAAAGAAAGCGUAAUAGCUCACUGGUCGAGUCGGCCUGCGCGGAAGAUGUAACGGGGCUAAACCAUGCACCGAAGCUGCGGCAGCGACGCUUAUGCGUUGUUGGGUAGGGGAGCGUUCUGUAAGCCGUUGAAGGUGUGCUGUGAGGCAUGCUGGAGGUAUCAGAAGUGCGAAUGCUGACAUAAGUAACGAUAAAGCGGGUGAAAAGCCCGCUCGCCGGAAGACCAAGGGUUCCUGUCCAACGUUAAUCGGGGCAGGGUGAGUCGACCCCUAAGGCGAGGCCGAAAGGCGUAGUCGAUGGGAAACAGGUUAAUAUUCCUGUACUUGGUGUUACUGCGAAGGGGGGACGGAGAAGGCUAUGUCAGCCGGGCGACGGUUGUCCCGGUUUAAGCAUGUAGGCGGAGGUUCCAGGUAAAUCCGGUACCUUAUUAACGCUGAGGUGUGAUGACGAGGCACUACGGUGCUGAAGUGAUAAAUGCCCUGCUUCCAGGAAAAGCCUCUAAGCAUCAGGUAACACGAAAUCGUACCCCAAACCGACACAGGUGGUCAGGUAGAGAAUACCAAGGCGCUUGAGAGAACUCGGGUGAAGGAACUAGGCAAAAUGGUGCCGUAACUUCGGGAGAAGGCACGCUGAUAUGUAGGUGAAGCCCCUGCGGGCGGAGCUGAAAUCAGUCGAAGAUACCAGCUGGCUGCAACUGUUUAUUAAAAACACAGCACUGUGCAAACACGAAAGUGGACGUAUACGGUGUGACGCCUGCCCGGUGCCGGAAGGUUAAUUGAUGGGGUUAGCGGCAACGCGAAGCUCUUGAUCGAAGCCCCGGUAAACGGCGGCCGUAACUAUAACGGUCCUAAGGUAGCGAAAUUCCUUGUCGGGUAAGUUCCGACCUGCACGAAUGGCGUAAUGAUGGCCAGGCUGUCUCCACCCGAGACUCAGUGAAAUUGAACUCGCUGUGAAGAUGCAGUGUACCCGCGGCAAGACGGAAAGACCCCGUGAACCUUUACUAUAGCUUGACACUGAACACUGGUCCUUGAUGUGUAGGAUAGGUGGGAGGCUUUGAAGCGUGGACGCCAGUCUGCGUGGAGCCGCCCUUGAAAUACCACCCUUUAAUGGCUGGUGUUCUAACGUAGACCCGUGAUCCGGGUUGCGGACAGUGUCUGGUGGGUAGUUUGACUGGGGCGGUCUCCUCCCAAAGAGUAACGGAGGAGCACGAAGGUUGGCUAAUCCUGGUCGGACAUCAGGAGGUUAGUGCAAUGGCAUAAGCCAGCUUGACUGCGAGCGUGACGGCGCGAGCAGGUGCGAAAGCAGGUCAUAGUGAUCCGGUGGUUCUGAAUGGAAGGGCCAUCGCUCAACGGAUAAAAGGUACUCCGGGGAUAACAGGCUGAUACCGCCCAAGAGUUCAUAUCGACGGCGGUGUUUGGCACCUCGAUGUCGGCUCAUCACAUCCUGGGGCUGAAGUAGGUCCCAAGGGUAUGGCUGUUCGCCAUUUAAAGUGGUACGCGAGCUGGGUUUAGAACGUCGUGAGACAGUUCGGUCCCUAUCUGCCGUGGGCGCUGGAGAAUUGAGGGGGGCUGCUCCUAGUACGAGAGGACCGGAGUGGACGCAUCACUGGUGUUCGGGUUGUCAUGCCAAUGGCACUGCCCGGUAGCUAAAUGCGGAAGAGAUAAGUGCUGAAAGCAUCUAAGCACGAAACUUGCCCCGAGAUGAGUUCUCCCUGAGACCUUGAGUCUCCUGAAGGAACGUUGAAGACGACGACGUUGAUAGGUCGGGUGUGUAAGCGCAGCGAUGCGUUGAGCUAACCGAUACUAAUGAACCGUGAGGCUUAACCUU